CAAGUCGGGAAGGGAUAAACGCUGAAGGCAUCUAAGCGUGAAGCCCCCCUCAAGAUGAGAUAUCCCAUUCUUUAGAAGAAGUAAGACCCCUUGAAGACGACGAGGUAGAUAGGGCAGAGGUGGAAGUGCAGCAAUGCAUGGAGCUGACUGUUACUAAUCGGUCGAGGGCUUGACCUG
rfam:Lactonifactor longoviformis DSM 17459 genome assembly, contig: EJ64DRAFT_scaffold00032.32